rnacentral:tRNA from 1 species
AUUUUAGUAGCUUAAUUUAGAGUAUAAUAUUGAAGAUAUUAGGGUGAAAUUAUUUCUUAAAAUA